rnacentral:rRNA from 1 species
UACAGAGGUCCCAAGCGUUGUUCGGAUUCACUGGGCGUAAAGGGCGCGCAGGCGGGUUUGCAAGUUCGAUGUGAAAGCCCCGGGCUUAACCCGGGAAUGGCAUUGGAUACUGCAGAUCUGGAGGAUCGGAGGGGGGACUGGAAUUCUUGGUGUAGCAGUGAAAUGCGUAGAUAUCAAGAGGAACACCAGUGGCGAAGGCGAGUCCCUGGACGAUACCUGACACUGAGGCACGAAAGCCGGGGGAGCAAACAGG